rnacentral:misc_RNA from 1 species
UCGUACAAAAUGUGUUAGGCAUUGCGAGGGCUGUCGCUGACCGACACAAGGUCGUGCACGCCGGAGCGUGUCCUCUCACAUAACACAAUCCAUCUCACCCUUUGUGCACCACCGCGUGGGCCCCCUUUGGGGGGCUCGCGUUUUCACACAAAACCCCCCCCCUUUAAAAGUGUAGAAUGACCUCAUUUAUGAAAUCAAUAC